rnacentral:lncRNA from 1 species
UCGAUCUCCGUUACCGUCAAUAAUUCCUUCGUCAUUUCCAUUUGCUUCCUGCGGUUUUAGGUCAGUUGUGUCUCGGACCAUCACAUGUUCUUUUUUUUUUUUUUGGAAUACUAUCACAUGUUCUUUACCUCGAAUUUACCACACCUAUUUUUUUUGUUUUUUUUUUUUUUGUUUUUUGAAAGCAGGGGAACAACAAGGCAAAGAAGCCAAAGAACAAGAAAGCCUACAGAGAGGCAAACACAAAGCAGGAAACCAAGUAGUGAACGGGGAUACAACAGAGACACCGCCACCUAGUGGAGACGUCACCCCAAACACCACCAAAAAGAAAUCAAUGAGGACACGGGAGCCCAUCAUUGUUCAAAACAAAGACCAACGAAGAUGGGGGCCGCUCGACCCUAACAGAAUCACUCAUCUCCGUAAAACCAACUGACGCUAGCUCAUGCGCUGCACCAUUAGCUGAUCUAGGUACCCAAGACCAGCGACAGAACUGGAAGGCCUCCCCAAGCUGUUUGACCCGAGCCAACACAGGGAAAGACUCCCAACUGCCCAUCUCUAAAAAACCAGAGAGACAAUUAACAGCAUCAAGAGAAUCAGAUUCAAUAAUCAGAGCAUUGAUACCCAAAGCUACACCCAAUUCACAACCACGAAGCAAAGCUAAAGCCUCAACUGCAGCAGCCGAGGGAGCAGAAAAAGGGUACCUUGCAGCAGCAACAAACCUCCCUUCCGUAGCCUGCAUAACCACCCCAGCGAAACCCAACUUUGAAACCUUUGACCAACUAGCAUCAAUAUUUAUCUUGAUGAAAGGAAAGGUAGGAGCACACCAACGCGAAACAUGCCCCACCCUACCAGAUCCCUCCAACCUGGACGCUCCCAAAAUAUCUUUCGAAGCCAAGAAAGAGCCCACAACCGUAGAUAAAGCAAACAACACUUUAGAAGGAUUAAUGGGCACCUUAUUAUACACAAAGUCACAGCGCGUCUUCCAAAUAAACCAACAGGUAUAAGCAAUAUAAGACCGCAUCCACUUAGCAUGGGUAGAGGACGCAAAGGAAGAAGACCACACAUCCUUUAACCAAUCCACCCAAGAGUGAAUAGCAUCACGAUCAAUUUUGUAGUUCAGGGCACCUCCAAACCAAAUAGGCUCAACCCACGAACAAUUAAGAAAAAGAUGCCCAAUAGUCUCAUCAUGGCAAAGACAAAUAUGACAGAUAAAGGAAAUAGAGGACCUUCUGCGAAAAAGGGCCGCACAAGUAGAAAGGCAAUUAUGCAAAGUGAGCCAUAGAAAAUGGCGCAAUUUCGGGGGCACCUCAAGCUUCUAGAUAAGGAACCCCACGAGCAGUAGAAAGCCGAUUAUCCCUCAGAGCAAGCGAUCUACUUUGAAUCCACCGGUAACCCGACUUGACUGUGUAAAUACCAUUCUUACUACAUCCCAAAAUAAUCCGGUCCUUGUGACUCAAAUCACCAAUUGGAGUGUCCUUAAUAGCCUUUUUAUCCGUAUCCGAGAGGAAAGGUAGCAGGAAAUUAAGAUCCCACCUCCUAGAAACCGGACAAAUAAGCGAGCUCACACGCAAACUAGAGGUAACCGGAACCGACCCAAAAGGCAGAGAAUGACCUAAAGACAG